ACCAGCAGCUUUGCCUGGUCACCCACUGAAGCUAAGCAAUGUUGAGCCUGGUCAGUACCUGGAUGGGAGUCCUCCUGGGAAAACUAGGUUGCUGCUGGAA
rnacentral:rRNA from 1 species